ensembl:lncRNA
CUUGCUUCUUACUGUCUUUGAGGCUCGGGACCAGCACUCCUGCUGUUGGACAGAAAGACAUCAACUUGAGAUAUGACUGCACUAUGCUGUUGUUGUGACUCCAGUUAAUUCUACAAGACAUGCUGUGACAACAGGAGAGAUGAGUCCUCCGUCACAGAUGGUGUGGUCAGUGAAGAUGGUCGCCUGCAGGUUCAAGCUCAUUGCAUCUCCAACCCACAUCCACUGCCACUGUACUUAAGGGAAGUUAAAGACUUUCUUCUGCACUUACAUUUGGAUCACCUCGAUCCAUGACAGUCAUUCAGGCAGUGAUGCCUGGACUGGAAACAAG